rnacentral:lncRNA from 10 species
AGAGAGGGAGAAGUGACGAUGGUGAUCGUUGCUGCCGCGGCCGAUAUGGAACCCAAGCAGUGGCGAAGGGAAUCGCAAGGCUCUUCCCUGACCAUUUUCUACUGUCCCUGCGCGAGGUGAGGGCCCCGGCUCGGCCUCUGCAAAACUUUGGGGCGCUGGCGCGGAGGAGGAGACAGGAUUUCUCCCGUGACUUUUGUAACUGCGUCAGGGCAAGAUGGCGCUGGGUCUCUUUGGGGCGCGGGGGGAGAGGCACGUCCACCGCCGCAGCGCAUGUGACCGGGCUGCAUUCCUGUGGGGUUUGGCUCCGACCCAGGCCGGGGCGGGGGAGGGGACAGGGCUUGGGCGGAGGAGACUGUGGUGCGGUCGGCGUUGGCGGCCUGAAGAGGAAGAGAUGACUGUUGGAAAGCGUUCCCCUCCCCCAUACGGCAGAACAGCUGCGGCUCCCAGGGGAAAGCCCCCGCAGGACAGUCCUCGUGGGGUGUGACGGCUGUUGGUGGAGAAGGUUUGGCGCCCUAUUUUCUUAUCUGCCUUUCUCCCCGCAAAGUAUACUUAUGUAAGGUGGUAGUUCCCUGACGUGGGACUCGGAAUCAACUAGGAGUCCUUGAGGGCCUCUGGGAGGCCUAGCGAGGGGUAGACCAGCUUCUGGGGGUACAACGUCAAGGAGGAUCGAUUACUUUCUGAGGAAACAGUUUCUCAGAUUGAAAUAGAAAAGUAUUUCCAAAGUUUGGAAACAAAUUUAAAGGUGUAAAUAACACCCAGGAACACUUUAAUUGCUUUGAAAAGGCAUAAGCAGCCAUCUGAAUUUAAGGGCCCUUUUCAGACUCUUCCUUCCUCCUGUGAUUCCUGUUCUUUAUUUCAGUUUUCUGUCUGUACAUCCCUUAAGAAUAUAGUUUUGUCGGUGGGAUUCGCUCUUUUGUGCCCAGGCUGGAGUGCAGAGGCGAGAUCUCGGCCCACUGCAACCUCCGCCUCCCCGGGUUCAGGCGAGUCUCCUGCCUCAGCCUCCCAGGUAGCUGGGAUUACAGGCGCCCACAACCACACCCUGCUAAUUUUUUCUAUUUUUAGUAGAGACGGGGUUUCACCCCAUUGACCAGGCUGGUCUCGAACUCUCGAGAUCCGCCCGUCUCAGCUUCCCAAAGUGCUGGGAUUAUAGGCAUGAGCCACCGCGCCGGGCCUGCUUUUUUUUUUUUUUUUUUUUUUUGCACUGGGCAUUAGUAAUACGGAAUAAAAGCCGUGUUUUAAACUGUAUUAAGUUGUAAGACUUUUCAGUACUUUCAAGUCUGCUUUCUUUCUGUUGCCCUUUUGUAGUUUUUAAAAAUAAAAGAUGCAAUUAUAAGCA